rnacentral:miRNA from 1 species
CAGUGAUCCAGAGAGAGGUGAAGAAGCAGGAGAAGUGCAUGAUUGCCUCUUGUCAGCCACUCUGUUCUAGUCAGCGACUCUGUUCUUACUGCAGACAGCAAGUUUCCAGGGCUGCACUUAUCCCUACAGGGUUCUACCCUCGUCUCCCUUCUCUUUCUCAUCUACCUCAUCCCAGUCACUCUCU